AGUCGUAACAAGGUAUCCGUAGGUGAACCUGCGGAUGGAUCAUUACCAAAGGAUGACAUUAUUCCUGGAAGUUAUGUGAACGGGUUUUGAAUUGACAGUCAGCGGGGGGAGGAAUUGAGCAUGUGGUAACACACGUGCUCCUCUCCUCUUGCUUGCUGGCUGUAUUUAAAAGUAUUUUAUAGUGAAACUGAAAUCUGUUUGAAGUAAACAAAAACAACUUUUAGCAACGGAUCUCUUGGCUCUC
rnacentral:misc_RNA from 1 species